UACGUAGGGUGCAAGCGUUGUCCGGAAUUACUGGGCGUAAAGAGCUCGUAGGUGGUUUGUCGCGUUGUUCGUGAAAACUCACAGCUUAACUGUGGGCGUGCGGGCGAUACGGGCAGACUUGAGUACUGCAGGGGAGACUGGAAUUCCUGGUGUAGCGGUGGAAUGCGCAGAUAUCAGGAGGAACACCGGUGGCGAAGGCGGGUCUCUGGGCAGUAACUGACGCUGAGGAGCGAAAGCGUGGGGAGCGAACAGG
rnacentral:rRNA from 1 species